rnacentral:rRNA from 1 species
UACGGAGGGUGCGAGCGUUGUUCGGAAUUAUUGGGCGUAAAGCGCGCGUAGGCGGCUUCUUAAGUCUGAUGUGAAAGCCCACGGCUCAACCGUGGAGGGUCAUUGGAAACUGGGAGACUUGAGUGCAGAAGAGGAAAGUGGAAUUCCAUGUGUAGCGGUGAAAUGCGUAGAGAUAUGGAGGAACACCAGUGGCGAAGGCGGCUUUCUGGGCUGUAACUGACGCUGAGGCGCGAAAGCGUGGGGAGCAAACAGG